AAAUUGAAGAGUUUGAUCAUGGCUCAGAUUGAACGCUGGCGGCAGGCCUAACACAUGCAAGUCGAACGGUAACAGGAAGCAGCUUGCUGCUUUGCUGACGAGUGGCGGACGGGUGAGUAAUGUCUGGGAAACUGCCUGAUGGAGGGGGAUAACUACUGGAAACGGUGGCUAAUACCGCAUAACGUCGCAAGACCAAAGAGGAGG
rnacentral:rRNA from 1 species